CUGACAGCAGCAUGUCAAGUGCAGGAAGUUGAAAGAGCAAGUGAAGGAGCAGGGUGGUUUCAGAGCAGUUUCAGGGCAAUGUGGAUGAGGAAAAAGUCUGCCUAAAGCUGAAACCGUGUAAUGAAGCGGCAAGAAUAAGACUAUAGGUGAUCAGUCACACUGCUUGACAGCUGAAUUAUAAAGGUUAAUUCUCCAGUAAUGUUGGCAAGUCACUCUUGAGAAACUUUUUGAAAGAAAUUAGUUCACUGAUUCACUGUAGGUUUCUGAAUGGGUUUUUUUUGCUCUUCCAGCUGUUGAAGCCAUUUAGAAGCUGUUUUAUACACUUUUGUAAUCUCCAGCUCCUUCAUGCAAUGCUUGCUGAAGAGUGCUCCUUAGUUAAGAAAAAUCAGAGGAUGAAC